UUCCUCUUCUAUUUCAUCCUCUCUUUGAUUAGAAAAUUGUUGUACCCUAGCACUUGAACUGAAACUUGCUUCUCUUCCUACUAGCCUAUUCACUCUUGUUCUUAUAUUGAAUCUUUCUUUCUCAACUCCACAAGCUCUAGCAACAUCACCCCAUGUCAAAUCAUUUCCAUCAUCAAAUACAACAUCAUCUUCAGCACAUUCUUCUUUAAUUCUGCCAAUCAACCAUUCAUUACUGUCAUUUAUAUCAUUCAAAGAAAUAGGAUCAAUAGUGUCACACAAGUUGUAUCUCCAUAGUAAGGCUUGAU
rnacentral:lncRNA from 1 species